rnacentral:misc_RNA from 1 species
AACGCACCUUGCACUCCUUGGUAUUCCGAGGAGUAUGCCUGUUUGAGUGUCUUGUAAUCAUCAAUCUAACAUUGCUUUUGUGAUGCUGGAUUGGAUUUGGAGACUGCUGGUCUUACGAUUGGCUUCUCUUGAAUGCAUUAGUUGAAUCGAGUUGCAACGCUACGUGUGGUGUGAUAAUAUCUUCACUGCAUAGUUGUAAUGACGUUUGGCUUCUAACCGUCCUUCAUUGGACAAUACUUGACCAUUUGACCUCAAAUCAGGUAGGACUACCCGCUGAACUUAA